rnacentral:rRNA from 1 species
GCGAACGCCGUGCCAGGUGCCGCGGGAAGACGGGGGGGGAAAGCGUUAAUCGGAAUCACUGGGCGUAAAGGACGCGUAGGCUGUUUAGCAAGUCAGGUGUGAAAUCCUAUGGCUCAACCAUAGAACUGCACUUGAAACUGCUAGACUAGAGUAUGGGAGGGGGAGAUGGAAUUAGUGGUGUAGGGGUAAAAUCCGUAGAUAUCACUAGGAAUAUCUAAAGCGAAGGCGAUCUCCUGGAACAUUACUGACGCUAAGGCGUGAAAGCGUGGGGAGCAAACAGGAUUAGAUACCCCAGUAGUC